rnacentral:rRNA from 1 species
CAGUAGCCGCGGUAAUACGUAUGUCGCGAGCGUUAUCCGGAAUUAUUGGGCAUAAAGGGCAUCUAGGCGGCCGGAUAAGUCUGGGGUGAAAACUUGCGGCUCAACCGCAAGCCUGCCCUGGAAACUAUGCGGCUAGAGUACUGGAGAGGUGGACGGAACUGCACGAGUAGAGGUGAAAUUCGUAGAUAUGUGCAGGAAUGCCGAUGAUGAAGAUGGUUCACUGGACGGUAACUGACGCUGAAGUGCGAAAGCUAGGGGAGCAAACAGGAUUAGAUACCCCAGUAGUCCCUGUCUCUUAUAC